rnacentral:rRNA from 1 species
UACGGAGGGUGCGAGCGUUAUCCGGAAUCACUGGGCGUAAAGGGCACGUAGGCGGUUUAUUAAGUCCGAUGUUAAAGCGUGAGGCUCAACCUCAUCACGGCGUUGGAUACUGUUAAACUGGACUUCUGGAGAGGCAAGUAGAAUUACUGGUGUAGCGGUGAAAUGCGUAGAUACCAGUAGGAAUACCCAUUGCGAAGGCAGCUUGCUGGACAGAUAGUGACGCUGAGGUGCGAAAGUGUGGGGAGCAAACCGG